rnacentral:rRNA from 1 species
UACGGAGGAUCCAAGCGUUAUCCGGAAUCAUUGGGUUUAAAGGGUCCGUAGGCGGUUUAGUAAGUCAGUGGUGAAAGCCCAUCGCUCAACGGUGGAACGGCCAUUGAUACUGCUAGACUUGAAUUAUUAGGAAGUAACUAGAAUAUGUAGUGUAGCGGUGAAAUGCUUAGAGAUUACAUGGAAUACCAAUUGCGAAGGCAGGUUUACUACUAAUGGAUUGACGCUGAUGGACGAAAAGCGUGGGUAGCGAACAGG